UCUACCGCAAUGGCAAUGAAAGUGACCCCUUUGAAAGAUGUGAAACCCUACAAAAGUGGCUGGAAAGUACAUGUGAAGGUUCUGCACUCUUGGAAGCAGUACAACCCAGUGCACGGGGACACCCUCGAGAUGGUGCUAUCCGAUGAAGCUGUGAGUGUUCUAAUAAGUAGUUGGUUAUUUGUUGUUUAGCGUAAUAUGUAGCUUUACGUUUGUUCACUAACUUUUUUUUUUUCAACCUGAACUAGGGAUGUAAAAUACAUGCCUCUUGCAAGCGAACUUACAUGGAGAGUAAAGGCCGCCUUCUUCCUGUUGGAGCAUGGAGGCACAUCCAGAAUUUCACCCUCAGUCCUUCAACUGGCAUGUACCGAGCAACCGAUCAUCCCUUCAAAAUGAGCAUCAUUCAGAAUACGGCAAUCACAAGGUCUCCUCUGAUCAACGAAGACAUGUUUCUGAGCUUGGUGGACUUCCAGACUGUUUUGGGUGGAUCACUCAAAACAUGUUUUCUCAUUGGUAAUUAUUUGCGCAUUCUUCUAAUUUGUUUUACUCUCGUGGCCUCUGUAUAUUUAUUGAUGUUUUUUUUUUUCCAGAUGUGAUUGGUCAAGUUGUGGACUUGGGAGAUCUUGAAACUAUUCAAGUCUCAGGCAAGCCAAGGAUGAAAAUAGAGUUUACCCUUCGCGACAUGAAGUUUGUAUUCCUGAACAAAUUUUUUUUUAUUGAGAUACUCAAGUUAAAUUGGUGCUGCUGAUGUUUUUCUUUAUAUUAAUCAUAGUGAUGCUCGUGUUCCCUGCUGUCUGUGGGGUAAAUUUGCGGAGAUCCUCUACGAGGGGUGUAGUAAAGACGAAGAAGGGAAGCCCAUUUGUCUAAUAAGGUUUGCAAAGAUCGGGAGAUUUAGAGGUAUAAGUUUAUUUCAAUAUAGUAAUGACUUUAUAAUAAAGUUUGUAAGGAACGUCUUAUAAUAUUUAUUUACUUUGAAAAAAUCUUCAGGUGAACUCCAAAUCACCAAUGCUUUUGAGGCAUCACUGCUCUUGAUUAAUCCUGACAUAGCAGAAACUGCAGCUUUCAAACAAAUGUAGGGUUUCAUUACUUUAAUAAUACUUACUGUCUAUACAUGUAAUUCUGGAGUACUCUUUUAUCUUAUUUGGUUAUAACACUUUGUUAGGUUUGUUGAUGAGGUUAAACCCCUCGCCAUUUGUGAGGGUCGUGAUGAGAUACUUGAUUUGGAAGAGGUGAAAAGUAUCCAAGACAAGCGUGACAAAUGGAUGCUCUUUCCCAAGAGAACCAUCCAUGGACUUCUUGAAUCCACUCAGGUGAGCCUUCAUUUUUUAUUGAGGUUCUUUGUUUCUUAUAGUGAUUCAAUUAUAUUUUAAAACUACCUAAUUUACUAGGUGGAGAAGUGCUUGGUCGAGUGCGAAGUCUAUGCUAUUGACUCGGAUUGGGGAUGGUAUUACUUUGGUUGCUGCACAUGCAACAAAAAGGUAGUGAAAGUGGGAACUUUAGUUAAGACAAUUCAUGGAAAGGAGGUCACUACACAUCUCUGGUGGUGUGAGGUGUGCAAAGAGAAUGUUUCAAGUGUGUCACCAAGGUGAGAAAUUUAAAACAUUUUUAUAUUCAAACCGCAUGUAUUUGACUCAUUCCUAAUCAGUCUCUCAUUUACGCAAUUUUGCUUACUGAUGUUUUGAUUGUAGGUUUAAGCUCCAUUUGAUUGUUAAGGAUGACACAGGAGAAACAAAACUGAUGUUACUUGACCAAAUUGCCAAGGGAAUGAUUGUCGAAUCGGCUGCGACUCUUUUGAAUGGAUCAUUUGAUGAGGUAUGCUUUACAUAGUGUAUAUUUUGAGUUAUUUUCGAGAUACUUGAAUUAUUUCUAAUAUAUUCUGAUUUGGUCUUUUUGUCAUCUAGCUUGAGGAUCCUACAGAUUUACCUGACGCCAUCCUAUCUGUUGUUGGAAAGACUUUCACCUUUGGAAUUUCUGUGGAAAAGGAACAUGUUUUGUAUGGAUCUGAGAUUUACAAGGUUGGAAAAAUCUACCGUCAAAGCCAAAUUGUUUUCAAUGAGUCAGCCAAUGUUGAGAGUUCUGAGUCUGAUCAAGAUCUAGCUCUUACAAGUGGAGAAGAGGUUUGACUGUAUUCUUAUAUUCAGUGAUGUGCAGUAUUAUUAAUUUUAAUGCAUUUGUUGUAUUAAUACUGAGACUUGCUAAAGUUUAUGUUUCUUAUUUUUCAGAACUCUGUCAAUCUCCUUGACAAUGAAGAACACAUUGAAUGUUUGUCCACACCAUCCACCACACCAUCCACGAAGAGAAAGGGAGCAUGGUCAGACCCUCCACGCGAUAUCACUUCGACUUCAAAGAACCUUCGCUUAAAAACUAUCAAGGUGGAGAAGAUGAGUGAUUUGGAUCUUGAAGCAGGCAAGAAGACCUAAAUCUGCGAGGCUGAAGUUUAUGUUUUUUUUUUUUUGGUUUUAUUUGUUUUCUUAUUUCUGAAGCAAUUUCAUGUUUUGGUUUUUUUUUUAAUAAUUGUUUGGUUUUGGUUUUUUAUUAAUGGUUAUGUUUUUGGUUAAACUUAUUAUAAUAAAGUAUGCUUCAGAUAAUUUCUUUGCCUUUUUUCCUUUAAUUUUUAAAUUUCUAUAUUUAUUAUAUAGCAUUGCUUGCUGUCUAAGCUAACUAUCGCAAUCGACUAUGUUCCCUAUGUACCAAUAUCAGUUACAUAACUAACCUCCAAAAAUCUAUGUAUUGCAAUCCACUGUGUUCCCUAACUACCAAUCAGUUUCAUACCUAUAAUGCAUUUGCUAUGGUUUUAAGAAUGGGCUUACUUUAUCGUGUGGAGUUCUUCUAUUUGGGCGUAUCUAUGAGGGAGAUUCCAUUGUUCCCAUGUCCAAAUCAUCAACUGAUUGGUAGCACCUUAAGUAAACCGAUGAAGCUGGAAGAUCAAAGUUGAUGAUGGUUAGGAAUUAUUUUUUAUGAAUUGUUAAAAAAAAAACGCCUUAUACUCACAAAGGUAAUUCAAUAUUUAUAGUUUAUUUUGUAACCAUAACUAAUAAAGACAAUAAAUAAACUUGCAAGGGCAAUCCAGUAACAAGAUUGUAUCCUAUAUUCCCUAACUAAUUAUUCUUCAAUCUUAACAAUAGAAUAACGCAGAGUCUAUUUUAUUUCAGAGAACGAUGAAAGAUACAACCAAAAAGACAGUACCAACUGGAUCUACCAUUAAGAGAGAACAGAGUACAAAAAACAAUGAAACUAUUGCUCCAACCGAGAAUUCAGCUAUCUUGUGUAAGUCAUCCUUAGCCUAUGUUUUUAAAGAUAUUGGAUUUGUGUCUUUUGAAUUCAGCCCAAGCGUACUCACAUCUUCAAAUUCAUACUUGACAAAGCACAAGCAAACAUCGUGUCUACUCAAAGCACUAUCAAUUCAGCCCAAGCGUACUCACAGAUACCACCCAUUACGUUAAGUUCACGCUCAGUAGCUCAACGUCUUUGUUAUAAGAGGAAGAGAACAACCAAUUCCAUUGAAGGAGAACUAAUGGUGUUAUCUGAUAUUACCAAUCAAGUUCCUUCUGGAACCACACAGACACGACAAUCUUAUCUAACUGCAACGCAUGAUGAGAGAACUAUAGCGAAUACAAGAAUUCAUUCAACGACUACGCCUACCGGAUCUAAAAAAGAUUACCAAGUCAAAGGAAACCCAUGUGAAUCUGCUAAGAGGCUAAGAAAGAACGAUUCUUUCUCAUGUAAGUCCUAUGCUAUUUCAGUGCUUUGAGUGACUACGUGUUGUAUUGCUCUUGGCAGUUUAUUUGUUCUUAAAUUGUCGUUCUGAUGUGAUUGUCCAGCCCGUUCUAACCUUCACACACCACCAACUUCUUUUCCUACAAGCUCUAUACCUCUAUCUGAUACGACCAAUGUCAGUCCUUCUGUAAGGACACAGACACAACAAGAGGUUCUACCAUCUACGUUUGAAUCAUCUAAGUCCAGAUUAACAGCUAAAGGUGAUUAUUAUUUGUGUAAAUCUGUUUAUUUUUCUGAUAAACCUUGGGAAGUUAUCAAGAUCAUAACAUUAUUACUGCAUAAUUUAUAAAAUCUGUUUGUUUUCAGAAAAAGGAAAAGGAAAAGCUGUUGCCUCAGGAAAAAAAGCAAAAACAGUACAUGGUAUGUAGUUUAUGUUAUCUAGGGCGUAUUGAAUUCAAGGAAUAUGUUUACAUUGUUUUGAGGAAUUUAUACAUCCGUCUUGCUUUAUUUUAUAGCAACAGAAACAGAAGGAGUUGGCCUUCAUGUUGAUGGAUACUCGAGUGAAGAAAAUGAUGACUCUAUAUAUCAUGAUUACGAGGGUAAUCAAUACGCACGAAUCCUAUCGAUAGUUUAAUGUUCUUUAAUGUUAAAAAAUUCAGAAUAGCGAAAGAACUUAACAUGGAAUUUUUAAAAUAAAAGGUGCAUAUGAAGUCGAAGGAGAACAACAUUAUGAUUGCAGCAGUGAAGAAAGUGACAUGGAGUCUGAAUCAAAUGUGGAUUUUGACAUGUUCUCAAAAGAAUCAGACACAGUUGGACCCUCCAAAAGGAAAACUUCUUCGAAGGGGAAAAACAGUAGGCAAAAUUUUUAUUUUAAAGUUUAAUUCGUUAUAUUGACUGUGCUUGCCUAUAAUUUACCAAUUAGUUUGGUUCAUGUUUUUUCCAGAGGCAGUAUACAUCGACGAAGGUGAUGCAACCCAUAAAUGUGAGCAUUGUGGGGCUAUAAUGUGGUAUGGUGAGCGCAUAAACAGGAAGAGAUCUACCCGUAAACCUAAAUUUUCACUGUGUUGUGGGCACGGUCAGGUACAGCUGCCACUGUUAAAAGAAUCCCCAGCCAUAUUGAAAAGAUUUUUGACAGAGGAUGAUGAAAUGAGUCGAUAUUUUCGUGAGAAUAUUAGAGUUAUCAACAUGGUUUUCUCAUUUACAUCUCUUGGUGGGAAAGUGGACCGCUCUGUUAAAAAAGGUAUUGGCCCUCAAAUGUUUCAGCUUCAAGGAGAGAACUACCAUUUGAUGGGUAGUCUAAAGCCACCAAACGGUGAACCCAAGUUUGGUCAGCUUUAUAUUGUUGACACAGAAAAUGAGAUAGGCAAUCGAUCUGGUAUUAUCGGGUAAUUUUUUGAUUCUUAGUUUAACCAGUUUGCGAUAUGAUUUUCCACCAUAAAUGAGUUUGAACUAAUCUGGACGACCUCGUGUUUAUAUUUUUUCUCAGGAAAUACAAGAAAUCAACUGAAAAAGCAAGGAAAGAAGAACUUAGGAAAAAAGUUAUACAGGCACUAACGGCUAUGCUAGACGAGUGCAACCCCUAUGUCCAUCAAUUUAGAUCAGCACGUGAUCGAUUUGACACUAAUCCUGACCAGACAUUUCAUAUGCGUAUCAUUAGUAGUCGAGAGAAAGAUGGAAGAACAUAUGAUACUCCUACCGCAUCUGAAGUAGCUGCACUAAUUCCUGGAGAUUUCAAUUUGGACAUGGAUAAAAGAGAUAUUGUUUUGCAAGAGAAACAGACGGGAUGGCUUAAGAGGAUUAGUGAAAUUCACCCUGCUUAUCUGGCUCUUCAAUAUCCUCUAAUCUUUACUUAUGGUGAAGAUGGGUUCAGACUUGGGAUUCAAAAGAGGGAAACGGAGGCAACAGCAAAGCUAAAGAGGAAGGCACUCAGCAUGAGACAAUGGUAUGCGUUUCGUUUACAAGAAAGAGAGAAUGAGUGUCAUACUCUUCUCCAUUCGAGGAGAUUGUUUCAGCAAUUUUUGGUCGAUGGUUAUACAACAAUUGAGGCGAACAGGCUGUUUUAUCUUAGAAUGAACCAGAAAAGUCUCAGAUCGGACAGCUAUGACUCUAUCCAACAAGCUGAAAACUCUGGCAAAACAGAUAUGCAUGAGCAAGGGAGUCGAUUUGUGCUACCAGCAUCGUUUACGGGAGGAGCAAGAUACAUGAAGAAUAUGUAUUUAGAUGCCAUGGCGAUCUGUAAAUAUUUUGGGUUUCCUGAUUACUUUAUAACAUUUACGUGCAAUCCUAAAUGGCCGGAGAUCACCAGGCAUCUACAACCCAGAAAGCUUAGUGCUGAAGAUAGGCCAGAGAUUCUCUCCAGAAUCUUUAAAAUCAAAUUGGAAUCUCUCAUGACAGAUUUAACAGAUAAACAACUUUUGGGGAAGACAUCUUCGGGUGAGUUAUUCAGUACAAUUUCACCAUUCCUGUUUUUGGUCUGAAAUUUAUCAGUCUAUUUUUUUUUUCAGCAAUGUAUACGAUUGAGUUCCAGAAACGUGGCCUACCCCAUGCACACAUUCUGUUAUUCAUGCAUCCUAAUUCCAAGAUUAGAACAAACGAUGACAUUGACAAAAUCAUCUCAGCCGAAAUUCCAGAUAAAGAAAAAGAGCCAGAGCUUUAUGAAGUGGUUAAGGACAUGAUGAUCCAUGGUCCUUGUGGAGCUGUUAAUGUGAACUCUCCGUGCAUGGAAAAUGGGCAAUGUUCAAAGCAGUAUCCUAAGACACAUGUUGAAAAAACAUUUGUGAACAAGGAAGGAUUUCCAGUUUAUAGAAGAAGGAAAGAGGGGAAUGGAUUUAUAGAGAAAAAAGGAUUCAAGUGUGACAACACCCAUGUCAUCCCUUAUAACAAGGAGUUGUCUCUUCGUUAUCGAGCUCACAUUAAUGUGGAAUGGUGCAAUCAGAAUGGUGCUGUAAAAUACUUAUUCAAGUAUAUUAAUAAAGGGCAGGAUCGUGUUACUGUUGCUGUUGAACCUCCGGAUAAUGGUUCGUCGAAAGAAAAUAGUUCUGUGCCAGCAGGUGAUUAACGUGCAUUAGAAGUUAUUAUUUAACUGCUGUGAGUAGUGUGUAUUUUUCGACGACAUUGUAUCCUCUACUAACGGAUUUGCUUUAAUGUUUUUCAGAUGUGACUGCGCCUAAUUCUGAGACUUGCACAAAUACAGCUUCAAAAGAAGAGAAUAAAAAUGAGAUCAAAGACUUUUUUAACUGCAGGUGCAAAUUUUCUCGACUCUGUUAAUGCUUAUAUUUUGAUUUUUGAAAUAUUUAAAAGUAAACAUCUAUGACUAAUUUAUUUACAGAUAUGUAUCUGCAAGUGAAGGUGGAUGGAGGAUCUUUCAGUUCCCAAUACAUUAUAGAUCAACUCCAGUUGAGAGAAUACAAUUCCACCUACCAGGAAAACAGAUCAUUGUUUUUAAGGAUGAUGACACAUACGAAAAAGUGACCAGCCGAAAGCUCAUUGAAAAUACUAUGUUUAUGGGCUGGUUCGAAUUGUGCAAGGUUAGUGAAGUUGCUCGGACUCUGACUUUAGCUGAGAUUCCAACAAUGUUUACUUGGAAUAAAAAGGAGAAGAAGUUUUAUGAUAGAAAGAAAGGAUUUAGUAUUGGGAGAAUCAAUUAUGCACCACGUAAGAUAGAAGAAGCUUACUACAUGCGUGUCUUGCUAAACAUUGUUAAAGGUCCGUUUGAGGAUAAGGACAUAAGAACUUUCAACGGUUUUGUUUAUGAAACAUAUAAAGAGACAUGUUUUGCAAGAGGGCUACUUGAAGAUGAUCAAGAAUAUAUUGAUGAGCUUGUGAGGACAAGUUUUACUGGUUCGGCAUCAUACAUGCGCCAUGCAUUUGUGAUCAUGUUAAUGUCUGGUACUUUGUCAAAGCCUGAAGAGGUGUGGGAGAAAACUUGGGAAUUCCUUUCUGAGGACAUUCAAUAUAAACGAAGACAGCAACUGCAUCGACCAGGUAAUAUAUGUUCUUAUUUGAGUCUGAUUGCGUCGAUUCGGUUACUAAAAUACCACUUAAACGAUUUUGAACUUGUGACACAUGCAGAUCUUUGUUUGUCGGAUGAAGAAAAAAAAGAAGCAGCCCUUAUAGAGAUCGAAAAGAUUUUAAAAAGUAAUGGAACUUCAUUGGCUAACUGGACCUCUAUGCCACAGCCAAUCCCAGACAUCAUUAAUGAAAACGUGCUGAUUAUGGAUGAGCUCAGUUACAACCGGGAGGAGUUAAAAGCUGAUCAUGAUCGUGACUUUCCAAAACUCACUGAUGAGCAAAGGAAAAUCUAUGAUGAGAUUACCGAUGCUGUUUUUACUAAGAAAGGAGGUGUGUUUUUUGUUUAUGGGUUUGGUGGAACUGGAAAAACCUUCUUGUGGAAGCUGCUUUCUGCUGCUAUCAGAAUGAGGGGUGAAAUCUGUCUGAAUGUGGCAUCAAGUGGAAUAGCUUCUCUAUUGCUACCAGGAGGAAGAACAGCACAUUCUAGAUUCGGGAUUCCUAUAAACCCAGAUGAGUUUUCUUAUUGCAAUCUGGUACCAGGAACUGAUCAGGCGGAUUUGGUGAAAGCAGCCUCUCUUAUCAUCUGGGACGAAGCUCCAAUGAUGAGUAAGCACUGUUUUGAAUCUUUGGAUAGAAGCAUGGCAGAUAUCAUUGGAAACAAAGAUAACAGACCAUUUGCCGGGAAAGUAGUUGUCUUGGGUGGAGAUUUUAGACAAGUACUGCCAGUUAUUCACGGAGCUGGAAGGCCGGAAAUAGUUAUGGAGUCACUUAAUUCUUCUUAUCUCUGGAAGCAUGUAAAAGUUUUAGAGCUAACAAAGAACAUGAGGCUGAUGUCAAAUGAUCUCACACCUGAAGAUGCAAAAGAAUUACAAGAGUUUUCGCAGUGGAUUUUAGAUGUUGGAGAUGGAAAAAUUGGUGAUGGAAACGAUGGCGAAGCUCUAAUCACUAUUCCAGAUGAGUUUUUGAUUCUUGAUGCUGAUGAUCCAAUAGAUUCUAUAAGCAAAGCGGUGUAUGGGGAUGCUGUUUCUUUACUGCAGCAUAGAGAACCUAAGUUUUUUCAAGAAAGAGCAAUACUUUGUCCUACUAAUGAAGAUGUGAACAUGAUUAAUCAGCAUAUGUUGGACAAGCUGCCAGGUUCGUUUGUAGAUAUGUUUUUGUUUAGAUUACUGACUUCUCAAUGAACGAUUUGUUUGUUAUAAAUUAAAAUUUUCGUUGUCAAUGCAGGUGAGGAAAAGUUCUAUUUGAGCUCUGAUUCUAUAGACUCUUCAGACAGGUUUUCAAAGAAUGACCAAGCUCUUACUCCAGAUUUUCUGAACAAAAUCAAGGCAUCUGGUUUACCUAACCAUAGUCUCAGAUUGAAGAUUGGGUGUCCUGUGAUGUUGCUUAGAAACAUUGAUCCUAUAGGGGGACUAAUGAACGGUACUAGACUCCAGAUUACAGAAAUGUAUGACUUCAUGAUACAGGCUAAAGUCAUUACAGGGGAAAAGGUCGGUCACACUGUUUUUCUUCCUAGACUCUCAAUAACACCUUCUGAUAAAAAACUGCCGUUCAAGAUGAGGAGGAGACAACUACCUAUUGCUGUGGCAUUUGCUAUAACAAUCAAUAAAAGCCAAGGUCAAUCACUUUCGGAGGUUGGUUUGUUUCUACCGAGACCUGUUUUCUCUCAUGGGCAGCUAUAUGUGGCUAUUUCUAGAGUGACUUCUAAAAAAGGACUGAAGAUUUUGAUUGUCGACCCUGAAGGCAAGCCUCAGCGUCAAACAAUGAAUGUGGUAUUCAAAGAGAUAUUCUCGAAUCUUUGAUUUUCGUUUUGCAUUUGUUUCUCAGGACAAGUUAUACUACUUCCAAUUUGAUACUGCUAUUUAUUUACUUUUAAGCAAAACAAUUUGUUUCAAAUGAGUUUUUUACAUUAAGGAUAUUGUAGGAAUUUGAACAAUUCAAACAGUCCAUCAAACAGACAAAAAAAACACCACAAUUCAAUCAGCAUUCAUCAAACAAUCUCCGGUUUUUAUCCUAACUACCAGUAUCAGUUCGCAAUCUAAUCUAUACAAUUUGAUCCUUCUAAAAUGCACUUACUUAUUGGUUCGCACCAGAUUGACCCUAUGUAUUUGUCCCAUGGUCCUUCAGCUGAAUUAAUCUGUGUCUUCAACUUUUAACUGCACGACCAGGUCAAGAAUUGUUAAACUUUUUAGUCAGCGGACUCAAAUAUAAAACACCUAAAGUUUCUCAUGUAUGUCCCAUGUCAAUAAAUCUGUAACUAAUCAACCUAUAUUUAUAUGUAAGUUACACUUUUGUAUUAAUGUAAGAGAAGAAAAACUUUCAGGAAGGAACUUAUCUUUGAUUUUGACCCGCAAGUUGUUGUCCAUAGACAGAUGACAUCUCUAUGAUCGCUGUAUUUCGAAUAUUUUAUUUUCUCUGAGAGUACAUUGUUCCUGAAAAGAAAGAAACAAAUAACCCAUUUUUAAUAAACAUACUUUUAAACACAGAUUCUAAAGUCGUCAAUAAUACUUCAUCAGAAAUUAGACUUUGUCAAAACAAUCUUACGCUUUAUUGGGACAGUUACUUGGCUUUUAUUUAGGCAGAGAUGUUGUCGAAUCAAUUUUAAUUGAUCAGAUUUUCACCCGCUUCAGAACUUCGUCGGAUUCUUGGAAACCAUUCCAAUCUCACCUGCAAAAAAAUAUCCGAAAAAUGUUUCAUGCAUAUAUUUGGUGACUACAAAUCUGAGAUUAACUUUUACCAAAUGAUUAAAAACUUAAAUUAUACUUACCGUUUAAUUUUCU
rnacentral:lncRNA from 1 species